rfam:Triticum aestivum genome assembly, contig: Triticum_aestivum_CS42_TGACv1_scaffold_050066_1BS
UUUGUACUCCCUCCAUCCCAAAAUUCUUGUCUUAAAUUUGUCUAAAUAUGGAUGUAUCUAGUUACAUUUUAGUGUUAGAUACAUCUGUAUCUAAACAAAUGUAAGACAAGAAUUUUGGGACGGAGGGAAUACUAC